UGCCCACCACAACCACAGUUCUACAUGAUGUU
rnacentral:piRNA from 1 species